UUUAGCUACGGAGACAUGGUCCCGAAGACAAUUGCUGGAAAGAUCUUUGGCUCCAUCUGCUCCCUGAGCGGCGUGCUGGUGAUUGCUCUUCCCGUCCCUGUCAUCGUGUCCAAC
rfam:Poecilia formosa, whole genome shotgun sequence.